AUUGAACGCUGGCGGCAUGCUUUACACAUGCAAGUCGAACGGUAACAGGCCUUCGGGUGCUGACGAGUGGCGAACGGGUGAGUAAUGCAUCGGAACGUGCCCAAUCGUGGGGGAUAACGUAGCGAAAGUUACGCUAAUACCGCAUAAGCCCUGAGGGGGAAAGCAGGGGAUCGCAAGACCUUGCGCGAAUGGAGCGGCCGAUGUCAGAUUAGCUAGUUGGUGGGGUAAAGGCCUACCAAGGCGACGAUCUGUAGCGGGUCUGAGAGGAUGAUCCGCCACACUGGGACUGAGACACGGCCCAGACUCCUACGGGAGGCAGCAGUGGGGAAUUUUGGACAAUGGGCGCAAGCCUGAUCCAGCCAUGCCGCGUGCGGGACGAAGGCCUCGGUUGUAAACCGACUUUCAGCCGGAAAGAAAUACGCCAAGGCUAAUAAUCCUUGGUGGAGUGACGGUACCGGAAGAAGAAGACACCGGCUAACUACGUAGCCAGCAGCCGCGGUAAA
rnacentral:rRNA from 1 species